UUUUAUGGAUUGGAUUAUGCAGUACAAUUUAUAUAAGUUUUUUUACCCUACAUCACAAAUGUGGAACAGGGUAUUAUAACAUUGUGCAUUUGCAACGCUAAAAGGAGCUGAGUUAGACCAAUUGUUAAUUAUAGCAAUCGGCUUUGAAUUAUUUGCUGAUUUAGUAAUGUCCGUCUGUCUGUCCAUGUAUUCUUGUAAUCAAAGUACAGGCGAUGUGCACUUUAAUGGCUAUAGUAAAAUGCAAAUGUUGUCGCAACACUAAAAGAGACCUUUCUCCGCUUAUGCAAAUCCUGUUUUUUCUAAUCUGGAAAUCUCGCUUUAUUGUCAAACUGAAGUUAUCUCUUUAACCCUUCAGCUCUAACCAUUUAAAAUUUCAAAGAGAUAUCUUCGAUUCUAUCCCACUGUGCUGCGUUAAGACUUUGUAUUUGAGGACAGAGAGGUAGAGGUGUGUGGCAGAAUGUUUGAAAUCUUUGAAUGAACUCCGGGGUUAUGAUAUAGCGCUGACUUGAAUUUCCGGGAAAGAGAAGAUAUACGGAUAUGUUAGGAAGGGCUCGUCCAUGGCGAGCGAAGCUGUCGCUAGUCUCGCAUAUGUGCCAUUUGUCAAACUAUGAACAUAGAAGUAGUAACAAAUGCUAUCCCCAGUGCAUAUUCUGUGGCAUGGUUGGAUCAAGCCUAACUGUAGCAGGGCCUGCUGCAUUUUGGUAUUGUGUCAGUAAAUAAUUUUGAAGAAGUUAUAACCAGACACUGUUCCCACCCUGUAAGGCGCGAAAGCCGUUCAAUGACAAAGAAAAUAUCCCAACGUAUCAUCAUAUUCCCCGCAUACCCUACACAUGCUAUCACUUGCCGCACCGAUUUUACAUAAUAAUAGCCUCGUCCUUUCACGAUCUGGAUUCCCGCUAUAGGAUUUUCGCCGUCCUACCGACCGUUUCGCUGUUCCACAGGGUUGCAUGCGCAUUCGUCCCCCACUCCCUUAACUCGGACUGCGUCGACCCGAAGGCUUCGGGUUAACCAAGUUCAUUGACGGCAGUCCUCAACGCCAAAUCGACUGCCCUUUCAUUCCCCCUUACUUCGUUAUGGCCCGGCACCCAAACGAUGCGGAUUUUGCCAUCCUCAGAGAAGGCGUUAAUCUCCCACCUACACUGCAAGACUGUUCGUGACCUGACCGUCCGUAAAGAUUUUCACACUUGACGUCCUCGCGUAAGCAACACACCACCUCAUGCAUUCCGUGAUCGCCCGGAUAUCCACCUGCAGGACCAUAUUAUGGUCAGGCAAUCUGAAACAGAUCUCAGUCCCUGGGUUCUCAAUAUAGACCCCAAGCCCACUCUGUCCUCUAGCUUUGAUCCAUCCUUGCAACAUUACCUUCAAGAUAGCAACUUCCAACUGAUUUAAAUUGUCCGAAAGUGUGGACUGUAAACACUACCUACUAUUCUUCAACGAUGUCCCUGAUGAGGUCAUCCGUCAAGGCCACAUGUGUAGGUAUUGCGAUGUCGUGAUCGCAAGAAAUUUUCUUCGCCUUACUCGUCUUCUUUUUGAAUGUCCGAGGGCUUCACUAUAUUCGGGAUAUGUGCUUGCUUUCUACUGUCUUCUUACAUUUGUUCACCUUGAUAACUGGUCUCUAGGUCUGGGCCAAAUUACCACAUACGUGAUUGUUAACCCUUUUGUUUCAAAUAAAAUGUCUUUGAGUAUUUUAUGACAACAUCCAUCCAG